rnacentral:lncRNA from 1 species
GGUGUAGCUCAUGGACUUGGUUGUUGGACUUAUUUCAUUCAUCGGCCUAUGCGUAUGAAAUAAUAUUAACCCACGUUAAAAUCAUAGCUCGGGAUUUAUUGGGUAUCAAAAACCCAACAAAUCUCCAAUAAAUCUGCAAGCAAUCAAAACACGCAGUUAGCACUUGCAUAAUCAAGGUAGCCAAUAAAAUUGGAUCACAGAUCUUACCUCGUGUUUCCAACUUGAGACACACACCAUACCUGCUCCAUAUACUCACCAGGGCUAAGGUCAAGAACACUCAGGUAUAAACAAGUACUUACAGUGAACAACUAAUCAUGCGAUAAAGAUAUUAUAUAGGAUACCGUACAGAGAUCUUUUCAAAAUUCAUGUUCACACUGAACCACCGAUUAACACCAAGAUAAUCAGCAGACGAUCAAACAAAUAUGCAACACAUGCAUAAAUGACCUCACGAAAGAUCUCAUCACACUUACCCUAUCCCAUUCCGUGUUGCUCACACCUCGAGAACACAUAUCUCCUCUCAUCGCCCACAAUGCUCACUAAACCAAUCACUUAACUCAUGUCUAACUGACAAGUCACAAUAUAUCCUAAGCUCUCGGAAUAAUUCUCUAUCACCACAUCACUUCUCCCAACCUACGUGGAUAAUGGGACUCCACUUUAUAGAAGUGAUAGAAGUCUCUCUCACACUCCACCUGUACAGGGUCUCUUUCCAAAUAAAGGAUUCUAGACAUUUGAUCACAUCUCCACUCGUGAUCCAAAUGUCACGCUCCACAUCCCCGGUACAAACCACCAUGUACCCCUAGGCAUCUAUACUCCACCUUACCAAAAGACAUCUAACAUACUACUAAUGCAUCCUAACCCACUAUGCAUGCAAGAAAUUACACCAAGUAAUCCUAAUGUCUCAAAUUCAUGCAAAUGCAUAUAUCAAACAUAUUGAGAUGUAGCAGAUAAUUAUGCAACAAAAUUUAGACAAUCACACACAUGCAGAAAAGGAUCACAAACAGAUGCAUAUGCAGUGACUAGG